rnacentral:rRNA from 1 species
ACGGGAGGCAGCAGUGGGGAAUAUUGCACAAUGGGGGAAACCCUGAUGCAGCGACGCCGCGUGAGUGAAGAAGUAUUUCGGUAUGUAAAGCUCUAUCAGCAGGGAAGAUAAUGACGGUACCUGACUAAGAAGCACCGGCUAAAUACGUGCCAGCAGCCGCGGUAAUACGUAUGGUGCAAGCGUUAUCCGGAUUUACUGGGUGUAAAGGGAGCGUAGACGGCAAUGCAAGUCUGAUGUGAAAUCUCCGGGCUCAACCCGGAAACUGCAUUGGAAACUGUAUAGCUAGAGUGCAGGAGAGGUAAGCGGAAUUCCUAGUGUAGCGGUGAAAUGCGUAGAUAUUAGGAGGAACACCAGUGGCGAAGGCGGCUUACUGGACUGUAACUGACGUUGAGGCUCGAAAGCGUGGGGAGCAAACAGGAUUAGAUACCCUGGUA